AUUGAACGCUGGCGGCAGGCCUAACACAUGCAAGUCGAACGGUAACAGGAAGCAGCUUGCUGCUUUGCUGACGAGUGGCGGACGGGUGAGUAAUGUCUGGGAAACUGCCCGAUGGAGGGGGAUAACUACUGGAAACGGUAGCUAAUACCGCAUAACGUCGCAAGACCAAAGAGGGGGACCUUAGGGCCUCUUGCCAUCGGAUGUGCCCAGAUGGGAUUAGCUAGUAGGUGGGGUAACGGCUCACCUAGGCGACGAUCCCUAGCUGGUCUGAGAGGAUGACCAGCAAGACUGGAAGUGAGACACGGUCCAGACUCCUGCGGGAGGCAGCAGUGGGGAAUAUUGCGCAAUGGGCGCAAGCCGGAUGCAGCCAUGCCGCGUGUAUGAAGAAGGCCUUCGGGUUGUAAAGUACUUUCAGCGGGGAGGAAGGGAGUAAAGUUAAUACCUUUGCUCAUUGACGUUACCCGCAGAAGAAGCACCGGCUAACUUCGUG
rnacentral:rRNA from 1 species